UGUGCCAGCCGCCGCGGUAAUACGAAAGGUCCAAGCGUUACUCGGAAUUACUGGGCGUAAAGCGCGCGUAGGCGGUCUUGUAUGUCGAUUGUGAAAUCCCCAGGCUCAACCUGGGAACUGCAGUCGAAACUGCAAGACUUGAAUAUCGGAGAGGGUGGGGGAAUACCUAGUGGAGAAGUGAAAUUCGUAGAGAUUAGGUGGACACCAGAGGCGAAGGCGCCUGCCUGGCCGAAUAUUGACGCUGAGGCGCGAAAGUGUGGGGAGCAAACAGGAUUAGAUAC
rnacentral:rRNA from 1 species